rnacentral:rRNA from 1 species
GACGAACGCUGGCGGCGUGCUUAACACAUGCAAGUCGAACGGAAAGGCCCUGCUUUUGUGGGGUGCUCGAGUGGCGAACGGGUGAGUAACACGUGAGUAACCUGCCCUUGACUUUGGGAUAACUUCAGGAAACUGGGGCUAAUACCGGAUAGGAGCUCCUGCUGCAUGGUGGGGGUUGGAAAGUUUCGGCGAUUGGGGAUGGACUCGCGGCUUAUCAGCUUGUUGGUGGGGUAGUGGCUUACCAAGGCUUUGACGGGUAGCCGGCCUUAGAGGGUGACCGGCCACAUUGGGACUGAGAGACGGCCCAGACUCCUACGGUAGGCAGUAGUGGGGAAUAUUGCACAAUGGGCGGAAGCCUGAUGCAGCAACGCCUCGUGCGUGAUGACGGCCUUCUUGUUGUAGACCGCUUUCGCCUGUGACGAAGCGUGAGUGACGGUAAUGGGUAAAGAAGCACCGGCUAACUACGUG